CUUUUUGUCCCCUCCUUGCUGGUCUUCUAAGCAGAUUGAAGCAGCUUCAUCUCAUUCCUGGUUCAUCCUGAUUCCCUCAGUGGCUUGCUCCUGCAUUAGUAAUGUAAAACUGGCCCAAAAGGGUUUAAAAUUGUCAGAAGUUGAUCUUGAUCAGUUCAAAUAUUUUUUGACAAAGAAAAUCAGUUCUGGUCAGUUCAAAUCUAUUUUGACCAGUUUAAACCAAUUCUGCAGAACUCGAGCCUGUGGUCGGUAAACCCAGGAAGAUGGCUGAAGACUAUGCUGAUUCAAGCCAAAGCAAGGAAUCAGAGAAAGGUAAGAUUCAUUAAGACUUGGGUGAAAAGAGUUAACAUGGGCAGAAUCCUGGAAGACUUCAAGAAGAAGGUGGAAUUCAAACGGAGUCCUGAAGAAUAGCUAUAGAAAAGUUAUUAAAAAGAAAAAAUCAUGAAGAAAAGAAACAGAAAGUAGAUCAUGGAAUCUGUCUGAUCUUCUUUUCCUAUGUAAUCAAGAAAGCCUGGACAGAGAAUUAUUAGUGGAUGGGCCGCAAAGGAGAUUCUUCCAAGAUUUCAGAAGUUGGAAGGGAAGCAGAAUCCAUUUGAUAACACAAACACAUUGUUGCUUAUCUGUUGACUCAACUUGGGAUGAAGAAGCAGUUGAGCCAGUUGUGUGUGUAGAGCUCAAGGACAAAGGUCCUUAGCUUCUGCAGAAUACUAUCAUCACCAAGCUCACAGGCUUCUAGAGCAGACAUGUGCUUCAGUCCAUUCUGUGGGCUUCCAGCUUCUACUCUUGGAGUUCCAUCCUUUUUUAUGAUAUUACCUUUCUAACUGCAUAUGCUGUGGACUUCAAGCACUUGAAUCAGAUGUAGAGACAUUAUAUGGACUGCUUGAGUAGCCCCCACAACUGUGUAAGCCAAAUCCCUGUAACAAGUAUUUAUCCGUCCAUCCAUUCAUCUGUCUGUCUAUCUAUGAAUCUAUUGAUCUAUCUAGCUAUAUUAGUCCAUUCUUGCACUCUAUAAAGCACUACACAAGACUGGAUAAUUUAUAAAGA
rnacentral:lncRNA from 10 species